rnacentral:sRNA from 1 species
GCCAGGUGUGGUGGUGCAUGCCUGUAAUCCCAACAACUCAGAAGGCUGAGGCAGGAGGAUUUCAAGUUCGGGGUCAGUCUCAGCAAUUUAGUGAGGUCCCAAGCAACUUAGUGAGACCCUGUCUCAA